rnacentral:rRNA from 1 species
GACGAACGCUGGCGGUGUGCUUAACACAUGCAAGUGGAGCGACGAACCAGGGCUUGCCCUGGGGCAGAGCCGCGAACGGGUGAGUAACACGUGGGUAACGUACCCCGAUGACCGGGACAACCCGAGGAAACUCGGGCUAAUACCGGAUGUGUCCGCCUCUCUUGUGAGAGACGUGCAAAGGAAGCUCCGGCCUCCGCAUCGGGAGCGGCCCGCGGCCCGUUAGCUUGUUGGUGGGGUAACGGCCUACCAAGGCUGCGAUGGGUAGCUGGUCUGAGAGGACGAUCAGCCACACUGGGGCGGAGACACGGCCCAGACUCCUACGGGAGGCAGCAGUGGGGAAUCUUGCGCAAUGCGCGAAAGCGUGACGCAGCAACACCGCGUGAGGGAAGACGGCCUUCGGGUUGUAAACCUCUUUCAGGAGGGACGAAGGGCGGCCGGUGAAUAGCCGUGCCGUCUGACGGUACCUCCACAAGAAGCUCCGGCUAACUACGUGCCAGCAGCCGCAGUAACAC